CCCUUAGACGUUCUGGGCCGCACGCGCGCUACGCUGGCCGGUGCAACAAGCAUCCGUCCUUGGCCGACAGGCCCGGGCAAUCUUUGAACGCCGGUCGUGAUGGGGAUAGACUUUUGCAAUUUUUGGUCUUCAACGAGGAAUUCCUAGUAAACGCAAGUCAUCAACUUGCAUUGAUUACGUCCCUGCCCUUUGUACACACCGCCCGUCGCACCUACCGAUUGAAUGGUCCGGUGAAGCCUCCGGAUUGGCGCGCACCUCGGUGCCGCCGAGAAGUUGGCUAAACCUUACCAUUUAGAGGAAGGUGAAGUCGUAACA
rnacentral:rRNA from 1 species